rnacentral:lncRNA from 1 species
UAUUAAUAGUAUUUUAGCUCUUUUGCUAUCAAUUUUCUAGCCGUUAGAUCUACACUUUAAUAAAUUCCACCCGUUAGAUCAUACUAUUCAACCAACCACCCAAUCAACCCUAGAACAUCACUAUCAUCCUAAGCCUAUAAUUAUUGAUCCAAGGUUAAAAACUAUAUAGUAAAAGAGCUCAAAUACAUUAAUAGUAUUCCAGUCCAAUUAUAUACAUAUCUAUAUAGAGCUAGUCUCCUAUACUAUCUAAAGUAGCGGAGCUUCAGUACUAUAGUCUCGUUUUCGAUCUUAGGGUGUUCAAAUCAACGAUCCACAUCGUUAAAACUGAUCUAGUGUAUUUAAAGUCUUUAGAAAUAAAAUUUUAUAUUUUUUCGACAUAGUUUACUUUAUGAUCAAACCAUUUCAAAAUUGUCAAUUUUCAAUGGCUAUUAUGGCGAGUUUGGAGUUUAACGGCAUAGAAGAAUCUAAAUUUCUUCAAAUUUUGAUAAAAAUACUUUAAACUAUCUAGAUUAAGGUUAACAUUCUUGAUCUUGAAUUUAAAAAUCCUAUACUCAAAUUUUAAAGAUUAUUCAAUUUUCGCUAUCCAUUUUGACAUAAUUUAUUUACUAAGUAAACGAUGUCGAAAAAAACUAAAAUUUUAUUUCUAAGAACUUCAUAUACUCUAGAUCAUAUUUAACAGUGUGGAUCAUUAAUUUGAACACCCAAAGAUCGAAAACAAGACUAUAGUACCGGAGCUCCGGUACUAUAGAUAGUAUAAUAGCCUAAUUCUAUAUAUAUAUAUAUAUAUAUAUAUAGAGAGAGAGAGA